GACGAACGCUGGCGGCGUGCUUAACACAUGCAAGUCGAACGGAAAGGCCCUGCUUUUGUGGGGUGCUCGAGUGGCGAACGGGUGAGUAACACGUGAGUAACCUGCCCUUGACUUUGGGAUAACUUCAGGAAACUGGGGCUAAUACCGGAUAGGAGCUCCUGCUGCAUGGUGGGGGUUGGAAAGUUUCGGCGGUUGGGGAUGGGCUCGCGGCUUAUCAGCUUGUUGGUGGGGUAGUGGCUUACCAAGGCUUUGACGGGUAGCCGGCCUGAGAGGGUGACCGGCCACAUUGGGACUGAGAUACGGCCCAGACUCCUACGGGAGGCAGCAGUGGGGAAUAUUGCACAAUGGGCGGAAGCCGGAUGCAGCAACGCCGCGUGCGGGAUGACGGCCUUCGGGUUGUAAACCGCUUUCGCCUGUGACGAAGCGUGAGUGACGGUAAUGGGGAAAGAAGCACCGGCUAACUACGU
rnacentral:rRNA from 1 species